GGUUCCGUAGCUCAAUGGAUAGAGCAGUGCUCUUCUAAGGCAUUGAUGUUGGUUCGAUUCCAACCGGGACCACCA
rnacentral:tRNA from 1 species